rnacentral:rRNA from 1 species
AUGAACGCUGGCGGCGUGCCUAACACGUGCAAGUCGAGCGGCAGCGAGGGGUGCUUGCACCCUGUCGGCGAGCGGCGGACGGCUGAGUAACGCGUGGGAACGUGCCCCAAAGUGAGGAAUAACUGCCCGAAAGGGUAGCUAAUACCGCAUAUUAUCUUCGGAUCAAAGGAUUUAUCCGCUUUGGGAGCGGCUCGCGUCGGAUUAGGUAGUUGGUGAGGUAAUGGCUCACCAAGCCGACGAUCCGUAGCUGGUCUGAGAGGAUGACCAGCCAGACUGGAACUGAGACACGGUCCAGACUCCUACGGGAGGCAGCAGUGAGGAAUCUUCCACAAUGGGCGAAAGCCUGAUGGAGCAACGCCGCGUGCAGGACGAAGGCCUUCGGGUUGUAAACUGCUUUUAUAAGUGAGGAAUAUGACGGUAACUUAUGAAUAAGGAUCGGCUAACUACGUG